rnacentral:rRNA from 1 species
UAGGGAAUCUUCCACAAUGGACGCAAGUCUGAUGGAGCAACGCCGCGUGAGUGAAGAAGGUUUUCGGACCGUAAAGCUCUGUUGUUGGUGAAGAAGGAUAGAGGUAGUAACUGGCCUUUAUUUGACGGUAAUCAACCAGAAAGUCACGGCUAACUACGUGCCAGCAGCCGCGGUAAUACGUAGGUGGCAAGCGUUGUCCGGAUUUAUUGGGCGUAAAGCGAGCGCAGGCGGAAGAAUAAGUCUGAUGUGAAAGCCCUCGGCUUAACCGAGGAAUUGCAUCGGAAACUGCUUUUCUUGAGUGCAGAAGAGGAGAGUAGAACUCCAUGUGUAGCGGUGGAAUGCGUAGAUAUAUGGAAGAAUACCAGUGGCGAAGGCGGCUCUCUGGUCUGCAACUGACGCUGAGGCUCGAAAAGCAUGGGUAGCGAACAGGAUUAGAUACCCUGGUAGUCCAUGCCGUAAACGAUGAGUGCUAAGUGUUGGGAGGCUUCCGCCUCUCAGUGCUGCAGCUAACGCAUUAAGCACUCCGCCUGGGGGAGUACGACCGCAAGGUUGAAAC